ensembl:misc_RNA Y_RNA Y RNA
GAAUAAUCUGAAGGUAAUGAAUUAUCUGAGUUGAUAGGUCACAGUCAGUUAUAAAUGAAACUCCUUGUUCCUUGUUCUGCUUUUUCCCCCUUCUCACUACUGCACUUGACUACUAUA